rnacentral:rRNA from 1 species
UACGUAGGGUGCGAGCGUUGUCCGGAAUUACUGGGCGUAAAGAGCUCGUAGGUGGUUUGUCGCGUUGUCCGUGAAAACUCACAGCUCAACUGUGGGCGUGCGGGCGAUACGGGCAGACUGGAGUACUGCAGGGGAGACUGGAAUUCCUGGUGUAGCGGUGGAAUGCGCAGAUAUCAGGAGGAACACCGGUGGCGAAGGCGGGUCUCUGGGCAGUAACUGACGCUGAGGAGCGAAAGCAUGGGGGAGCGAACAGG